GUUCAGUAAAAUUAAUUUCAAUUCGGUAAAAAUAAUUUAAGUUCAGCAAAAAUAAUUUCAUUUCAGUUCAGCAAAACUAAGAUGAAGUGAACGGGCCCUAAAUCAAACCUUGCUCAAAAAGUCAGAUAAUUAAAAAAAAAUAACUUGAAUGCCCUCAUAAACACACUUUACACAAUGAGGCCCUCUCCACUUCACCUUAAAACGAUGAUAUUCUAAAAUUAAUUUCACUUCAGUAAAAAUCAGUAGACUUAAAAGAAGAUAUAUAAUAAAAGAUCUGUAAAAAUAAUUUCAGUUCAGCAAAAUUAAUUUCAAUUUAGUAAAAUUAAUUUCAGUAUUAUAAAUAAGCAAAAAUCCUUUCCCAAAAAAAAAAAAAAAAAGCCAAAAAUAAUUUCAGUUUUUAAAAAAAAAGUUUCAUUUACGGGUCUUACAUACACUCACUCCAUGAUGCAUUGUUCGUUAAGCUUUACCGCCCUACUUGCUAAAGCAUUAAGCAGGUCUUAAUUUUGUUCUCUCUUCUUCGUCUCCACAAAACUUCCGGCAAAUCAUCAAUGGCGGAUACCAGACCAAUUGAGGCGUUAGGUUUUUAUUCGUCUAUUGCUUCAUCCUCUUAAGGUUGAAGAGAAGUCCUCCGCCACUGUUCGCCGAUAGUAGCCCUAACACAAUUGAUUCUCAGAAACUAGUUGCCGCAUUUGCUUAUGAGGGGAUAUUGAGUGUAAGCUGCAGUUUAUUGAUGGGACUAGAUCAAAUAAUAUACGUAGAAGGCUUCUAUUGAAGUUAUUUAGAAAUCCAAAGCAGGACAAACUGUUGGAGAUUAUCUUCUGUCUCAAAGAGUGGACAAGCUGCAAUGCCAAAAUUAUCCUAAUUUCUAGAAGCCACCUGGACAAGUUUUGAAUUGCUUGGGGAUAAUUGCUUUUUGAGGUUUUCAUGUAUGGGUGCCAGUACGGAAACAACGUUUUUCCUCCUAGUGUCUAGGUGCCAGGAGUAUUUAUUUUAAGUUGCAGGUUCAUUUACUGCGUUCACGGUCUUCUUUUAUUGUUUGGCAUUGAGACAUUAAGCCGAAUCUUAAUUAGGUGAGAACGAGAUUAAGAAAGGACUGAUUACCCUGGUGAUAACAUUUCUGGCAAUUCAUUCUUGAUGUCAUAGAAUAAUGACAUUAUAUUGGAGUACAUUUUAGUUUUUACCCAAACAUGAGUACCUUUUUUACCCAAAUCUAAUUGCACCUAUAGCAAACCUACUAUUGGUACUCUUGUUCUAUCUUCGCGGAGGGAAAAGUUGGUGUUGCCGUAAAUUUUUAAAUUUUAACUGAAUCUUAAUUAGGUGAGAACGAGAUUAAUAAAGUACGGAGUACAAAUUACCCUGGCAAUUACAGUUCUAGCAAUUUAUUCUCAAUGUCAUAGAAUAGUGACAAUAAAUUGGAGUACUAUUCACCCAAAUUUAAUGGUACCUAUAGCAAAUCUACUAGUAGUGCUUUUUACCAAUUUCCUGUGGAAAAAAGCUAAUUCAUUUGAUAUUGGUCCUGCUGUAAAAUUUUAUAGUUGUAUUGUGGAAUUAUGUCUACUUAUUGAUGAGCAGUGAACUUAUUGUAAUUUGUAAGCGAUGAAUUGAUUCUAGGUAAGAAAGACAUUUAGUUGAAUGUUGUUUGUUUUGUG